GGUCAAAAUGCCAAGCAUCUGUAAGUGAAGUGUAUACAUGAUUUCACUUUGACAAAAUAUAUCUUCUAACUGUAUAGGACUCACUUUCCUGUAAUGCUGUAUUUUUGACAUACUUUGCUAAUAGUGCAAAACAACAAAAAAGGUACUUUGUUGUAAACAGAAUUAAGCCUUUUAAAAAAUAUAUUACACCAUCACACACAUGGUUAUACUGAAAAUUACUGACAACCAAAUU
rnacentral:lncRNA from 1 species